rnacentral:tRNA from 1 species
UGGCAUAGUGGUAAUGCCCUCGCAUACCAUGCGAGGGGUCCAGAGUUCAAAUCCCUG